GUCAUCCUCCAAUAACGGCUUCCCCCCCCCCCCGGGGGAAUCAGUGUCUGAUUCAACGCUGUGAUUGGAGGAAGCCGGAUUCCUCAUUUUAGACCCUGGAAGAGGCUUUGCAACAGGUGGAGGAAGAGAUGCAGUGGCUGUCAAGAUUAAAAGGGAGAUUCUCUAAGCGCAGGCACCAAGCAAUGAACUUACCUUCACAGUGCAGCAAUCUCUUCUAAUCCUUGACCGAUAAAACGGGUCUACUGCAUACAGAACUGACAUGCAGAGAGUGACGUAAUUGAUGACAUUGCAGUAUCUUGCGCAAUAAGAAUAGUGGUCGCCAUCUUUAAACCUGGGUUCUCAGCCCGGAUUGGAUAACGAUAAUAAUGAAAAACGGAGUGGGUUUGGAAAGGAUUAAAACUUUGGAGCCAACUAUCUUCUUAAAACGGCAAGUAAUUGAAACAGAUAGGGCAUUAUAAAAAUAUUUAUUUUAUGACUUUCUUUUCUGCCUUCAGUGUCCCUUUAAUAAAAGCUUCCUUUUUUUACCUUA